rnacentral:Y_RNA from 2 species
GGCUGGUCUGAGUACAGUGGUGUUGUUUACAACUAAUUGAUCACAACCAGUUGCAGAUUUCUUGGUUCCUUCUCCACUCCCACUGCUUCACUUGACUAGCCUUAA